CUGAAACAGAAAUGUGCCCAGAAUGUUCAAGGACUCACAGAUCUAACUUGGCUGAAGGCAAGGCUUCGGGGUCAAUAAGGAGAGCUGAUUGCAGGACUAUGCAUCACCAUCUGAUUACCUGGGUGUGCUUCAUGCUCUCGUGUGUGUGUGACAUUGUCAUGGAUGCAAUGUUCUCCUCAGAACAUGGAAUUCAACCUGCUGUCCUCUCUCAGUAACAAUAAUGAAGCUUUUAAAGCAUCCCUGAAAGGUAUGUCCAUUUCUUUUUCUCCUUAAAUAUGAUUGGGAAGUGAUUAAUUAGAGUGAGAAACAGACAAUAACUCAAAAGAACAAAGUGGUAUGGGUAGGGACCGGAAAAAAAUCCUUGAUCCCAGUCUUAAAGAUAAGAGGGAUUAGCUCCUUGGUGCUUCAUAAGAGUUAUCGUGGAAGGAUUUGCUAAAGGACCAAAGACAACUGCCAACCUCUUCAAAGGCAAUUUUCCUGCAUCAGUGUCACA
rnacentral:lncRNA from 10 species